AGUGAACGCUGGCGGUAGGCCUAACACAUGCAAGUCGAACGGCAGCACAGUAAGAGCUUGCUCUUACGGGUGGCGAGUGGCGGACGGGUGAGGAAUACAUCGGAAUCUACUUUUUCGUGGGGGAUAACGUAGGGAAACUUACGCUAAUACCGCAUACGACCUACGGGUGAAAGCAGGGGAUCUUCGGACCUUGCGCGAUUGAAUGAGCCGAUGUCGGAUUAGCUAGUUGGCGGGGUAAAGGCCCACCAAGGCGACGACCCGUAGCUGGUCUGAGAGGAUGAUCAGCCACACUGGAACUGAGACACGGUCCAGACUCCUACGGGAGGCAGCAGUGGGGAAUAUUGGACAAUGGGCGCAAGCCUGAUCCAGCCAUACUGCGUGGGUGAAGAAGGCCUUCGGGUUGUAAAGCCCUUUUGUUGGGAAAGAAAAGCAGCAGGUUAAUACCCCGCUGUUCUGACGGUACCCAAAGAAUAAGCACCGGCUAACUUCGUG
rnacentral:rRNA from 1 species